rnacentral:lncRNA from 1 species
AUUUCCUUAUGUUUAAAACGUAAUGAGCAUCUCAAAACAUGUGAGAAAAACAGAAAUCAAACCCUACGAGAGACCUUCGACAUCAGAACCUCCAUCGGAAAGUAGAAUUCUGAUGCCGGACUCGAGCCGGGUAUUACAUUCUCCCCCCCUUAAGACCAUUCGUCCUCGAAUGAUCCUAAAACAAACAAUGAACACAUAAAAAAGAGGAAACUAACCUCAAAACAAAUAUGGAUACUGCUGGAGCAUAGACUCCCGCGUCUCCCAGGUGCAC